GGUUGCUUCACUCCUCCUGUGGCGUGGGAACCCUCCUUGUCGGAGCUCCAGUGCUUGUCGGGGCAGACCAAGGCGUUUCUCGUUUUUAUUCUUGUUUAGGAAUUUAUAUCCGCUUUUACUUGGCGGUUAUCUUUUUUUAAAGUAGUUUCGUCGUCUACCUUAAGCUCUUAUCUGCAGCAAACAUCGAUUAUUUUUCUACGAUAAGUUAACAUUGGCUGGAAUCUAAAGGAAGGCCUAAAAGCGGGCUUGCCGCUCAGGCGCCGGCAACCUCCUGUUUUAGAGGCCUGUUUUCUUUAUUCGAAUGGAAGGAGUCGUAUUUCUCUCAUUUGGAAAAUCUGCUUAUUAUUUUGCGAAUUUUAUAAGAGAAGCGGCUCCUAAACUCUUUGGGGUGACAGGACAAGGAAAGCUAAGGUACGCAAUAUACCGCACAUAGAAAAAGUGCUUUUCUUCGUGUGAUGUAUUGCUAUGGGUGUUUAUCCUGUUUCAAGGGUAGUGCUAGUCCAUGCAUCAAAAGUUUGACGCAGCGUUGUUUAGAGUAUAUGUAGCUAGAUUCCCAUUUUUGGCGUAGAUUUAGACAUUAAAAUUAUUUACUACAUCGGUUUAACUUCGUAUUAUUCAUUCUUAUGUACGAUAAAUUCAUUUUUCGAACAACUCCCUUAUGACGAAGCAGUUUCCAGUUAAAAUAGGAGUUCUUUUUAAGUGGUAUGCUUUACCGCUUUUUGAUCCCACAUGUAACUGAAAGUAAGACCUGUUAUUCUAUGCUAUGAGGUGAACUCAAGAGACUAGGUGGAGGAGCCAACUGCAAGUCAAAUGUCGAUUCUGUUCAGAAGCUUUUAGGCCAUAUCCUUGCGGUACUAACAAUCAGUUGAGGAUAAAAGAAACCCCGCUGAUUAAAGAUUCACUUUAUGAAUCAAUUCUUACUGUCUAUAUGUAGAUUUCAAAGAUUUUAGCACUAGUUUGAAUAAAAUAUUGAAUUAUAUAAACACUAAAAAUUAACUUUCAAUAAAAAAAGUCUUGAUUUCAAGGUGUAAACAUGGUAAAUUAAUUAUCGUUGCUUGAGUAAGCAAUAACCUAAAUAAAAAUGAUCGAUUAAAAAAUCAUUAAAAAGUAUUGACUUCUAUCGAUCAGCAUGGUAUAUUAAUAGAGUCGCCAAUUUGAUUAACAAAUUGUCAAAUAAAAAAUGUUUGACAAACGUUUUUCAAAAUGGUAUAAUAAAAAAGUUGCUGUCGCAAAAGACAGUUAANAGACCGUGAGGACUGGUGGAGCGCUUUGAAGUGAGAAUGCCGGUAUGAGUAGCGAAAAAAGAGUGAGAAUCUCUUUCACCGAAAGCCUAAGGUUUCCUGAGGAAGGCUCGUCCUCUCAGGGUUAGUCGGGACCUAAGCCGAGGCCGAAAGGCGUAGGCGAUGGACAACAGGUAGAUAUUCCUGUACCACCUCAUGAGUGUUUGAGCGAUGGGGGGACGCAGUAGGAUAAGGAAAGCGCACGGAUGGAAGCGUGCGCCCAAGCAGCAAGGGAGUCGGAUAGGAAAAUCCGUCCGAUAAUUCUAAGCUGUGACGGGGAGGGAACAUGAGUACCGAAGUUCCGGAUUUCACACUGCCAAGAAAAGCCUCUAGUGAGCUCAUAGGUGCCCGUACCGCAAACCGACACAGGUAGGCGAGGAGAGAAUCCUAAGGUGAGCGGGAGAACUCUCGUUAAGGAACUCGGCAAAAUGACCCCGUAACUUCGGGAGAAGGGGUGCUCCUUGUAGGAGGAGCCGCAGUGAAUAGGCCCAAGCGACUGUUUAGCAAAAACACAGGUCUCUGCGAAGCCGAAAGGCGAAGUAUAGGGGCUGACACCUGCCCGGUGCUGGAAGGUAAAGGGGAAGCGUUAGUACUUCGGUACGAAGCGUAGAACUGAAGCCCCAGUGAACGGCGGCCGUAACUAUAACGGUCCUAAGGUAGCGAAAUUCCUUGUCGGGUAAGUUCCGACCCGCACGAAAGGUGCAACGACUUGGGCACUGUCUCAACGAGAGACCCGGUGAAAUUAUACGAUGCGUGAAGAUGCGCAUUACCCGCGACAGGACGGAAAGACCCCGUGGAGCUUUACUGUAGCCUGAUAUUGAAUGUUUGUACAGCUUGUACAGGAUAGGUGGGAGCCAUCGAAGCGUGAGCGCCAGCUUACGUGGAGGCACCCGUGGGAUACCACCCUGGCUGUAUGAACCUUCUAACCCAGGGCCGUGAUCCGGUCCGGAGACAGUGUCAGGCGGGCAGUUUGACUGGGGCGGUCGCCUCCCAAAAGGUAACGGAGGCGCCCAAAGGUUCCCUCAGAAUGGUUGGAAAUCAUUCGCAGAGUGUAAAGGCAGAAGGGAGCUUGACUGCGAGACCUACAAGUCGAGCAGGGACGAAAGUCGGGCUUAGUGAUCCGGUGGUUCCGCAUGGAAGGGCCAUCGCUCAACGGAUAAAAGCUACCCCGGGGAUAACAGGCUUAUCUCCCCCAAGAGUUCACAUCGACGGGGAGGUUUGGCACCUCGAUGUCGGCUCAUCGCAUCCUGGGGCUGUAGUCGGUCCCAAGGGUUGGGCUGUUCGCCCAUUAAAGCGGUACGCGAGCUGGGUUCAGAACGUCGUGAGACAGUUCGGUCCCUAUCCGUCGUGGGCGUUGGAGGUUUGAGAGGAGCUGUCCUUAGUACGAGAGGACCGGGAUGGACACACCGCUGGUGUACCAGUUGUUCCGCCAGGAGCACAGCUGGGUAGCUACGUGUGGCAGGGAUAAGUGCUGAAAGCAUCUAAGCAUGAAGCCCCCCUCAAGAUGAGACCUCCCAUCACGUCAAGUGA
rnacentral:rRNA from 1 species